GACGAACGCUGGCGGCGUGCUUAACACAUGCAAGUCGAGCGGUAAGGCCCUUUCGGGGGUACACGAGCGGCGAACGGGUGAGUAACACGUGGGUGACCUGCCCUCAGCUCUGGGAUAAGCCCGGGAAACUGGGUCUAAUACCGGAUAUGACUCCAUGACGCAUGUUGUGGGGUGGAAANCCUUGUGCGGCUGAGGAUGGGCCCGCGGCCUAAUCAGCUUGUUGGUGGGGUGAUGGCCACCAAGGCGACGACGGGUAGCCGGCCUGAGAGGGCGACCGGCCACACUGGGACUGAGAUACGGCCCAGACUCCUACGGGAGGCAGCAGUGGGGAAUCUUGCGCAAUGGGCGAAAGCCUGACGCAGCGACGCCGCGUGAGGGAUGACGGCCUCGGUUGUAA
rnacentral:rRNA from 1 species